rnacentral:rRNA from 1 species
AGAUUGAAGAGUUUGAUCAUGGCUCAGAUUGAACGCUGGCGGCAGGCCUAACACAUGCAAGUCGAGCGGAAACGAGUUAUC